rnacentral:rRNA from 1 species
GAAGUUUGAUCCUGGCUCAGGACGAACGCUGGCGGCGUGCCUAAUACAUGCAAGUCGAACGCUUCUGUCCUCCCGAGUGCUUGCACUCAAUUGGAAAGAGGAGUGGCGGACGGGUGAGUAACACGUGGGUAACCUACCCAUCAGAGGGGGAUAACACUUGGAAACAGGUGCUAAUACCGCAUAACAGUUUAUGCCGCAUGGCAUAAGAGUGAAAGGCGCUUUCGGGUGUCGCUGAUGGAUGGACCCGCGGUGCAUUAGCUAGUUGGUGAGGUAACGGCUCACCAAGGCCACGAUGCAUAGCCGACCUGAGAGGGUGAUCGGCCACACUGGGACUGAGACACGGCCCAGACUCUACGGGAGGCAGCAGUAGGGAAUCUUCGGCAAUGGACGAAAGUCUGACCGAGCAACGCCGCGUGAGUGAAGAAGGUUUUCGGAUCGUAAAACUCUGUUGUUAGAGAAGAACAAGGACGUUAGUAACUGAACGUCCCCUGACGGUAUCUAACCAGAAAGCCACGGCUAACUACGUGCCAGCAGCCGCGGUAAUACGUAGGUGGCAAGCGUUGUCCGGAUUUAUUGGGCGUAAAGCGAGCGCAGGCGGUGUCUUAAGUCUGAUGUGAAAGCCCCCGGCUCAACCGGGGAGGGUCAUUGGAAACUGGGAGACUUGAGUGCAGAAGAGGAGAGUGGAAUUCCAUGUGUAGCGGUGAAAUGCGUAGAUAUAUGGAGGAACUCCAGUGGCGAAGGCGGCUCUCUGGUCUGUAACUGACGCUGAGGCUCGAAAGCGUGGGGAGCAAACAGGAUUAGAUACCCUGGUAGUCCACGCCGUAAACGAUGAGUGCUAAGUGUUGGAGGGUUUCCGCCCUUCAGUGCUGCAGCAAACGCAUUAAGCACUCCGCCUGGGGAGUACGACCGCAAGGUUGAAACUCAAAGGAAUUGACGGGGGCCCGACAAGCGGUGGAGCAUGUGUUUAAUUCGAAGCAACGCGAAGAACCUUACCAGGUCUUGACAUCCUUUGACCACUCUAGAGAUAGAGCUUUCCCUUCGGGGACAAAGUGACAGUGGUGCAUGGUUGUCGUCAGCUCGUGUCGUGAGAUGUUGGGUUAAGUCCGCAACGAGCGCAACCCUUAUUGUUAGUUGCCAUCAUUUAGUUGGGCACUCUAGCGAGACUGCCGGUGACAAACCGGAGGAAGGUGGGGAUGACGUCAAAUCAUCAUGCCCCUUAUGACCUGGGCUACACACGUGCUACAAUGGGAAGUACAACGAGUCGCUAGACCGCGAGGUCAUGCAAAUCUCUUAAAGCUUCUCUCAGUUCGGAUUGCAGGCUGCAACUCGCCUGCAUGAAGCCGGAAUCGCUAGUAAUCGCGGAUCAGCACGCCGCGGUGAAUACGUUCCCGGGCCUUGUACACACCGCCCGUCACACCACGAGAGUUUGUAACACCCGAAGUCGGUGAGGUAACCUAUGAGGAGCCAGCCGCCUAAGGUGGGAUAGAUGAU